rnacentral:rRNA from 1 species
CGGCACGGGUGAGUAACACGUAUCCAACCUGCCGUCUACUCUUGGACAGCCUUCUGAAAGGAAGAUUAAUACAAGAUGGCAUCAUGAGUCCGCAUGUUCACAUGAUUAAAGGUAUUCCGGUAGACGAUGGGGAUGCGUUCCAUUAGAUAGUAGGCGGGGUAACGGCCCACCUAGUCUUCGAUGGAUAGGGGUUCUGAGAGGAAGGUCCCCCACAUUGGAACUGAGACACGGUCCAA